UAGAAAAACGUUUAUGUGGUCCAGAGUUCAAGCGCUGUCAUGAUACAGAUUGUUGUGUAAGAACGAACAAGCACACGGAUUUCGAAGCAAGGAGAUCAGUAAUUUUUACAAGGAUGAAAAGAAUUGGACCUCCGAGGAAGUGGACGAGACAUAGAGUGUAUGAUGUACUUUUUCACACAUCUGUCAGAGCAUUGCAUGUGUCGUACGUUUUCUUAACUGGAUUUUUAGUUCUACGAGUGAUUGGGUAUAUGAAAGUUGAUAAACCAAAAUUCCUUGAAGAACACAAAAGAAAGGAAGCUGAAAGAAUGACAGAACUACAGGAAAAAGCAGAACGAGAGAGACUUGGGUUUUAAUGAAAAAUCAGUGUGUUUGAUAUUUAGUAAUGGUGUGAGUUAUAUUCCCGAGAUCUGUACGAGAGUCAGUGUGAUAGUUGUUAUAAGUGCUGUGAUGUUAUAUUGUAAAUAUGUUCAAGGAACAAGUCUUUUAGACCACAAUCAUCAUGGUUAAACAUUACUGGUUUCAUUAAACUAUGAGAGGAAGGAAAGAGAGAACUUGUCGUUUUUUAUGCCGAAUAAAGUUCUAAAAUUCAAAA